rnacentral:misc_RNA from 1 species
AGGAUCUCUCAAAGGCACUUCGUGAGUAUGGCGUGAAUGUAAAACAUCAAGAAUAUUUUGCUGAUAGCCCUUCAACGGGAGUGGAUUCUACUUCCAGAGAGGAAUGAGUUGGAGUAAUGGUUAUAAUGUCUCAUUGUUGUCUGCGUUCGUGAGUAUACUGAAUUACUGAUGCAUAUAGCUCAGGGUUGGAGUAUUUCUUGCUGACUAAAUUUAGUCCCUGCCAUGCACAGUCAUGAGUCAUGUUGUACAUUAUAGCAUUGCUUUGAACAUCA